GAUGAAGAACGUAGCGAAAUGCGAUAAGUAAUGUGAAUUGCAGAAUUCAGUGAAUCAUCGAAUCUUUGAACGCACAUUGCGCCACCUGGUAGUCCGGGGGGCAUGCCUGUUCGAGCGUCAUUUCACCACUCAAGCCUCGCUUGGUAUUGGGCAACGCGGUCCGCCGCGUGCCUCAAAUCGACCGGCUGGGUCUUCUGUCCCCUAAGCGUUGUGGAAACUUUCGCUAAAGGGUGUUCGGGAGGCUACGCCGUAAAACAACCCCAUUUCUAAGGUUGACCUCGGAUCAGGUAGGGAUACCCGCUGAACUUAAGCAUAUCAAUAAGCGGAGGA
rnacentral:misc_RNA from 1 species